UGGACAGAUUAUUGUAUUCGACUGUAUUCACGACGUGAAAUAGGGGAUUACACUGUUUUUAAAAUGGAAAGUGAAUCAAUUAACAUAAUAGACUCCU
rnacentral:pre_miRNA from 1 species